UUUGGACACAAAUGACAGAAGGGAUCAUAAUGCAUCAGCUUCCUUGACACCAGAGCUGCUGUCAUUGAGCACGGGAUGACACAGAUCGCCUGCAGAGAAUCACGAGGGCAGAGCAGCUUCUUCCUAUUUUGAGAACAGAGAUCUCCUGCUGCCCUUUGCAUGGGGGCAAACAGCAACCCUGUAGUCUUUCUAUGCUGCCUGAACUGACAAGGAGCACAGCUCACUGUUUUGACAGUUUGACUGGUCUGAAGACUUGGAUACCCAAGACAGGUGCAUAGACAAAAACCUGAUC